rnacentral:rRNA from 1 species
AUUGAACGCUGGCGGCAUGCCUUACACAUGCAAGUCGAACGGCAGCGCGGGGCAACCUGGCGGCGAGUGGCGAACGGGUGAGUAAUAUAUCGGAACGUGCCCUGGAGUGGGGGAUAACGCAGCGAAAGUUGCGCUAAUACCGCAUACGAUCUAAGGAUGAAAGCAGGGGACCCGCAAGGGCCUUGCGCGAGAGGAGCGGCCGAUGCCCGAUUAGCUAGNGGCGGGGUAAAAGCCCACCAAGGCGACGAUCGGUAGCUGGUCUGAGAGGACGACCAGCCACACUGGGACUGAGACACGGCCCAGACUCCUACGGGAGGCAGCAGUGGGGAAUUUUGGACAAUGGGGGAAACCCUGAUCCAGCCAUGCCGCGUGUGUGAAGAAGGCCUGGUGUAAG